UCCAUGAAAAAAUAAUUUUACAGCCGCCAAAGUUGUAUAUUCCGAAAGGGCAUCCAAUUUGCCAUAAAACUGUUACGAUUUAAUGAACACUCCAUGUAUGGGGUCGGACCGCAGUAAAUGAAACCAAUGUAUACAAAUCGCGACGACCCGCAUCUAAAUUUCGCCGGCUUGAGUCAAGAUUUUGUUGAAUUCCGGAACACCCGACCUCGGUUCGGAACCAGAUUUUGUGUUUAUUCGUUGAUUACAGUGGAUUUAAAAGCACGUGCAGAGCAAGAUAUUAGCAUAAAAGAAAGUGGAAACUGAAAGGCCUGCCAAAAAAUAUGUAUUGUUUGUGUAAGCACCAACAGGACUCCUGAAUACUUUUGAAGGAAACCAUGUCAAAUACAUUUUCUCUACUCUGGACCAAUGGAAGGAUCCCUUACUAGAUUCCAUAACUUGAUGUGUGCUGCCAGUUCACAAUCAUUUAUUACAAUGCUACUUCAAACCUUGAAGAAGACAAACUCAACCAGGAUAUUGACUAUUAAUUACAAUGCUACCCAACCUCAUAGAGAACUUUCCCAAUCAGGAUAUUGACCUGUCUUUUUUAACCUGC